rnacentral:rRNA from 1 species
UAGGGAAUCUUCCGCAAUGGACGCAAGUCUGACGGAGCAACGCCGCGUGAGUGAAGAAGGAUUUCGGUUCGUAAAACUCUGUUGUUAGAGAAGAACAGCGCAUAGAGUAACUGUUAUGCGUGUGACGGUAUCUAACCAGAAAGCCACGGCUAACUACGUGCCAGCAGCCGCGGUAAUACGUAGGUGGCAAGCGUUGUCCGGAUUUAUUGGGCGUAAAGCGAGCGCAGGCGGUCAAUUAAGUCUGAUGUGAAAGCCCCCGGCUCAACCGGGGAGGGUCAUUGGAAACUGGUUGACUUGAGUGCAGAAGAGGGAAGUGGAAUUCCAUGUGUAACGGUGAAAUGCGUAGAUAUAUGGAGGAACACCAGUGGCAAAGGCGACUCUCUGGUCUGUAACUGACGCUGAGGCUCGAAAGCGUGGGUAGCAAACAGG